UGGGAGAAGGAGGAAAGACGGAGCAAUCUGUCACUUGUGGAUGGGCCUGCGGCGCAUUAGCUAGUUGGUGGGGUAAAGGCCUACCAAGGCGACGAUGCGUAGCCGACCUGAGAGGGUGAUCGGCCACACUGGGACUGAGACACGGCCCAGACUCCUACGGGAGGCAGCAGUAGGGAAUCUUCCGCAAUGGGCGAAAGCCUGACGGAGCAACGCCGCGUGAGUGAUGAAGGUUUUCGGAUCGUAAAGCUCUGUUGCCAGGGAAGAACGUCUUGUAUAGUAACUGCUAUAAGAGUGACAGUACCUGAGAAGAAAACCCCGGCUAACUACAUGCCAGCAGCCGCGGUAAUACGUAUGGGGCAAGCGUUGUCCGGAAUUAUUGGGCGUAAAGCGCGCGCAGGCGGCUCUUUAAGUCUGGUGUUUAAUCCCGAGGCUCAACUUCUGGUCGCACUGGAAACUGGAGAGCUUGAGUGCAGAAGAGGAGAGUGGAAUUCCACGUGUAGCGGUGAAAUGCGUAGAGAUGUGGAGGAACACCACUGGCGAAAGCGACUCUCUGGGCUGUAACUGACACUGAGACGCGAAAACGUGUGGAGCAAACACGAUUAUAUACCCUGGUAGUCCACACCGUAAACGAUGAAAUGCUAGGUGUUAUGGGGUUUCUAUACCCCUUGGUGCCGCAAGUUAUCACAUUAAUGCAUUUC
rnacentral:rRNA from 1 species